GGGAAUAAAUUUGCUCUGUUACUGCUAAUAAUGGUGUUGGUUAAUUUAGUUUUACCUGUUCCUU
rnacentral:tRNA from 1 species